CCUACGGGAGGCAGCAGUGGGGAAUAUUGGACAAUGGGGGCAACCCUGAUCCAGCCAUGCCGCGUGUGUGAAGAAGGCCCUCGGGUUGUAAAGCACUUUCAGUGAGGAAGAACGCCUGGUGGUUAAUACCCAUCAGGAAAGACAUCACUCACAGAAGAAGCACCGGCUAACUCCGUGCCAGCAGCCGCGGUAAUACGGAGGGUGCGAGCGUUAAUCGGAAUUACUGGGCGUAAAGCGCGCGUAGGUGGCUUGAUAAGCCGGUUGUGAAAGCCCCGGGCUCAACCUGGGAACGGCAUCCGGAACUGUCAAGCUAGAGUGCAGGAGAGGAAGGUAGAAUUCCCGGUGUAGCGGUGAAAUGCGUAGAGAUCGGGAGGAAUACCAGUGGCGAAGGCGGCCUUCUGGACUGACACUGACACUGAGGUGCGAAAGCGUGGGUAGCAAACAGGAUUAGAUACCCCGGUGUC
rnacentral:rRNA from 1 species